rnacentral:rRNA from 1 species
UACGGUGGGAGCAAGCGUUGUUCGGAUUUACUGGGCGUAAAGGGCGCGUAGGCGGUCGUGACAAGUCACUCGUGAAAUCUCCGGGCUUAACUCGGAACGGUCAAGUGAUACUGUCGGACUAGAGUACAGAAGGGGCAACUGGAAUUCUCGGUGUAGCGGUGAAAUGCGUAGAUAUCGAGAGGAACACCUGCGGCGAAGGCGGGUUGCUGGGCUGAUACUGACGCUGAGGCGCGAAAGCCAGGGGAGCGAACGGG